UACGUAGGGGGCUAGCGUUGUCCGGAAUCAUUGGGCGUAAAGCGCGUGUAGGCGGCCCGGUAAGUCCGCUGUGAAAGUCGGGGGCUCAACCCUCGGAUGCCGGUGGAUACUGUCGGGCUAGAGUACGGAAGAGGCGAGUGGAAUUCCUGGUGUAGCGGUGAAAUGCGCAGAUAUCAGGAGGAACACCAAUUGCGAAGGCAGCACUCUGGGACGUGACUGACGCUGAGACGCGAAAGCGUGGGAGCAAACAGG
rnacentral:rRNA from 1 species